GAGUUUGAUCCUGGCUCAGAGCGAACGCUGGCGGCAGGCUUAACACAUGCAAGUCGAACGGGCACCUUCGGGUGUCAGUGGCAGACGGGUGAGUAACACGUGGGAACGUGCCCUUCGGUUCGGAAUAACUCAGGGAAACUUGAGCUAAUACCGGAUACGCCCUUCUGGGGAAAGGUUUACUGCCGAAGGAUCGGCCCGCGUCUGAUUAGCUUGUUGGUGGGGUAACGGCCUACCAAGGCGACGAUCAGUAGCUGGUCUGAGAGGAUGAUCAGCCACACUGGGACUGAGACACGGCCCAGACUCCUACGGGAGGCAGCAGUGGGGAAUAUUGGACAAUGGGCGCAAGCCUGAUCCAGCCAUGCCGCGUGAGUGAUGAAGGCCUUAGAGUUGUAAAGCUCUUUUGUCCGGGACGAUAAUGACGGUACCGGAAGAAUAAGCCCGGCUAACUCGUGCCAGCAGCCGCUGU
rnacentral:rRNA from 1 species